UACAGAGGUCCCAAGCGUUGUUCGGAUUCAUUGGGCGUAAAGGGUGCGUAGGCGGUUUGGUAAGUCUGAUGUGAAAUCUAUGGGCUCAACUCAUAGUCUGCAUCGGAAACUGCCGGGCUUGAGUAUGGGAGAGGUGAGUGGAAUUCCUGGUGUAGCGGUGAAAUGCGUAGAUAUCAGGAGGAACACCUGUGGCGAAAGCGGCUCACUGGACCAUAACUGACGCUGAUGCACGAAAGCUAGGGGAGCAAACAGG
rnacentral:rRNA from 1 species